rnacentral:lncRNA from 1 species
CCGCCUCUGAGGAGCCAUCUUGACCAUUUGUUAAGUCGGUUUGAUCCAACGGCGCGCGUUCACCCAUCAAGCUAUAAAUAGAAGGAAAGACCCCCUUGAGGAGGCCAGAUCAAGAGAUGAAGAGCCAGAGCAUUAGAUUGAGAUCCGCUAGAUCUAGGCUAGCAAUCAAGAUAGAGAUUAGAUAGAGAUAGAGUAGAGGAGUAG